UAUAGUACCGAAGUUCCUGAUUCCACGCUGCCAAGAAAAGCCUCUAGUGAGAUGUAAGGUGCCCGUACCGCAAACCGACACAGGUAGGCGAGGAGAGAAUCCUAAGGUGUGCGAGAGAACUCUCGUUAAGGAACUCGGCAAAAUGACCCCGUAACUUCGGGAGAAGGGGUGCUUUUUAGGGUGAAUAGCCCAGAAAAGCCGCAGUGAAUAGGCCCAGGCGACUGUUUAGCAAAAACACAGGUCUCUGCGAAGCCGCAAGGCGAAGUAUAGGGGCUGACACCUGCCCGGUGCUGGAAGGUUAAGGGGAGAGGUUAGCGCAAGCGAAGCUUUGAACCGAAGCCCCAGUAAACGGCGGCCGUAACAAUAACGGUCCUAAGGUAGCGAAAUUCCUUGUCGGGUAAGUUCCGACCCGCACGAAAGGUGUAACGAUCUGGGCACUGUCUCAACGAGAGACUCGGUGAAAUUAUAGUACCUGUGAAGAUGCAGGUUACCCGCGACAGGACGGAAAGACCCCGUGGAGCUUUACUGCAGCCUGAUAUUGAAUUUUGGUACAGCUUGUACAGGAUAGGUAGCCUGAGAAGCCGGAGCGCUAGCUUCGGUGGAGGCGUUGGUGGGAUACUACCCUGGCUGUAUUGAAAUUCUAACCCGCGCCCCUUAUCGGGGUGGGAGACAGUGUCAGGUGGGCAGUUUGACUGGGGCGGUCGCCUCCUAAAGAGUAACGGAGGCGCCCAAAGGUUCCCUCAGAAUGGUUGGAAAUCAUUCGUAGAGUGUAAAGGCACAAGGGAGCUUGACUGCGAGACCUACAAGUCGAGCAGGGACGAAAGUCGGGCUUAGUGAUCCGGUGGUUCCGCAUGGAAGGGCCAUCGCUCAACGGAUAAAAGCUACCCCGGGGAUAACAGGCUUAUCUCCCCCAAGAGUCCACAUCGACGGGGAGGUUUGGCACCUCGAUGUCGGCUCAUCGCAUCCUGGGGCUGUAGUCGGUCCCAAGGGUUGGGCUGUUCGCCCAUUAAAGCGGUACGCGAGCUGGGUUCAGAACGUCGUGAGACAGUUCGGUCCCUAUCCGUCGCGGGCGCAGGAAAUUUGAGAGGAGCUGUCCUUAGUACGAGAGGACCGGGAUGGACGCACCGCUGGUGUACCAGUUGUCUUGCCAAAGGCAUAGCUGGGUAGCUACGUGCGGACGGGAUAAGUGCUGAAAGCAUCUAAGCAUGAAGCCCCCCUCAAGAUGAGAUUUCCCAUGGCGCAAGCUAGUAAGAUCCCUGAAAGAUGAUCAGGUUGAUAGGUCAGAGGUGGAAGCGUGGCGACAUGUGGAGCUGACUGAUACUAAUAGAUCGAGGACUUAACCAA
rnacentral:rRNA from 1 species